UUUUAAGGCACAAUUUGGAUGGUUUAGAUUUUAAUUCAUUUGCUUUCACUUAGGAAAAUAAUAGUACAUUGUUUUUUCUUUUGCUGACUACUAGGUAAAUACAACGGCAUCUAAUGUACAAUGAGCUGGGUUUGUUACUAGUUAAUCGAGAAUUUUACUAGGGGUCCCUGUAGAACUGUAUUUGCUACCUCAUUAUAAUGAGCUGAAGCUUGUAGAAAUUCCCCUACAGAAAUCUCUUAGUGGAUUAAUAGGAGCCCUGACUUCAUUCAGAAUUUGUAGGUUUCUUUCCUCCCAAGUUAGACACUAAAACUGUCGCCUGGAUCACAAAUCCCAGUACACUAUUUACUCUCCACUGGGUCUUUGUAUAUCUGAGUGAACUUCAAAACGCAAAAUCAAAAGCCUUCCCAGGACAUCUGAUGGAAACACAUUAGCUCCACCUCCUCCUUGUGGACAACUCCACUAUUUUCUUUUCUGAUCUCUCAUGCAUGCAUGCAGAAAAUUCUUUAUUUCCUGAAUAAAAUAAGUUUCCUUGAAUGUAAGACAAAUGGUGAUGCUCUUUCUUUUUUUUCUAACUUGUUUUUUUAGGUGUGAUAGUCCAAUUCCUAGACAAGGGAGUUUUAAAUGAAAAAUGAAAUUCUAAAUCCUACUCAUACUUAUAAAAAAAAUAAAGGAAUCAAAUGGUAUCUGUGGUAAACAUUGGCUGAAUAACCUUCACAGAACAUGCAAAAAAAAUGCUUCAAUUAAACUUGAGACUACGUCAUCUGAUGACAAACUAUGCUGUUAUCCAUUUCAAAAUCUAUUCAAAAUCAGAAAGAUUGAACAAAAUUUACAUUUAAAUCUACUCACUUUCUUCAUUAAUUCUCCUUUAUUCAGCUUUCUGAUUACUUAAAUGUGCACAUGAUAGAGCUAACCAGUCCAGAACUACACUGCUUUGCACACUCUAGCCUAUCUUUCUUUCCCAGGAAGGGUUUUAUUGAAGUCAUAGGAAUUUUGCCUAAAAAAGCUACCAGUAAUUUAACAUUUAUUGAAGGACUCCUGUCAUCACAGAUAUUCACUGAGAAUAGAACUCAAGAUGAAAAUAAAAAGAAGAAGAUGAUCAUGAUAAAGGAGAUAUUCCUGUCCUUCUGAAGGAACUCAUAAUCCACAAAAUAAAGUGCAUACAUGAACACAUGCACGCAAGCACGUACGUACACAGCUCUGGUUCCAUGUAAGCAGAAGAAUAUGGUGAAAACUGGAGAGUCAAAUAUUUAAGGACCAAGAGGACCUCUGAAAGUGGAGGGACCCGAUUUACAUCGGAGUUAAUCUGGAGAGCUUCUAGAAACAUAGUGAAAUGAAUAACUUUGCUUGUCACCAAAUAAAGGGGGGCCGAAGUCUGAUUAAACAAUUUUUGUUUCACAAGGGUUAUUUAACCAAUGAUUACCGGUACUUUACCAGAGUAUUUACUUAAGUUAAAACCUUAAAAAGUUGUUUUUAGAAGAGGUAAAAGGUUACAGGUUGUGGAGUCUCCAGGGCAACUGAAAGACACAAAAAGAGGUUUCCAGAGCAGAACCAGCAAGUCAAGAGCAAAAGGAAGUUGGAGCUCGUGAGAACGUGCUGUCUACACAGGACUGGUGAAGAGCAAGGCGGUUAAUUCCUCGAGGAUAAAUGACAGAAGAAGGAGGGACUUUUAAAGUCAGGUAGAAUUUCUCCAACGGGCCGUAGGGAAUUAUGGCUCUCGCCUGUGUUCACAUCGUGAUUACUCUCACUUUACAUAUUUCUUGCUUAAAUCAAUUUAAACCAGUCACCUAAACCGAAGAUUUAUAAGAAUAACAUGUACUGUAAUAUUACGUGUUCACCCUCUGCCUACAGGAUCUCAAAGCACGUCAAUCUAGCAGAAAAUAAGCAGUUAUGUGACAUAAUAUAGAAAAAAAACCCCAAGCACUAAUUUACAUUUUAAAUUUUCAUUCUCCUAUUAGUGAGUGUCAGUGUAUUGUCUAAGACUUCAGUAAUCUGAGGGCGACUCUGCCUUUAAACACACAGCAGAGGCAGGCCCUGUGGCCGGGUGCUUGGGUUUCCAUGCUCCACUUCCGGCGGCCCAGGGUUUCACCAGUUCGGAUCCUGGGCGCGGACAGGGCCCCACUCAUCAAGCCAUGCUGAGGCGGCAUCCCACCCAGCACAGCCAGAGGCACUCACAGCUAGAAUACACAACUAUGUCCUGGGGGUCUUUGGGGAGAAGAAAAGAAGAAAAGUAAAAAAGAAGAUUGGCAACAGUUGUUAGCUCAGGUGCCAAUCUUUAAAAAAUAAGUAAGUAAAUCAAUCAACCCAUCAAUCAAUCACACAGCAAACCAUUGAGGGGAACAGUGAACCCAGCAUGGACUCUGUUUCCAAUUAUUUACGUGACCAAGAAAAGCUGAACAUGACCACGUACCCAACGAAUGUGCUUUAUGUGUAGCUUUUCUGUCACUUGUAUUUGCACUUAUUAGGGACUCAGUAAGUAGUUUGUGAACUAAAGAGACUAAUUUGCCUCUUUACAAUGCGACUCGUCCUACGUGCAAAAAGAACCUCAGCGACACAUCAAUGAACCCAGAUAGUUAAUGGACGCGAGACUCCCCCUUCAAGUCAUACCAAGAGCAAAGGCAAAAGUUUUGAGUUGCAGGGCAGCCGAGUGAUCAACCCUUAGCUUAAACACACCUCUAUCUAUUGUGUUUGUUUCCAUUUCCAUUUAAAGGAGUAAUUCUGCAGUGACUAAACAGAUGAGCAAUAGGUCCCUUUCGUAAAAAUUAAAGAUUUAUAAGCAAAAACAUAAAUGGAUGUUGUUAGAAAUUUGAGAAUCUAAUUUACAAGUAUCCAAUAAAAAUUUUCAACUGUAAAACUGAGAUAUCCAUAUUGACUUUUAUUGUGUUGAUGCAAAAUUUUGUGGCGAGAGAUUAUUUACAACGUUAGGAAACAAUGCCAUUGCUGGAGAAAUUUUCUUGAGGUUGCAAGGUAGGUUAGUUAACACUUUGGCCAUGAAAGAAGUGUGUCCUUUAGCACUUGUCAUGCAGAGAAAAUAAAGGCUGAGCAGCUGAAAGUAACUGUCAUACCAAGAGCAGAUGCGAAUGCUCCAUUCAGCAUGCGCAACUCAAAUACUCUCAGCAAAAUGAGAGGGUUACUACUUUUGCCAGAUAAUGGAAGGUCUUCACCAACGGAGUACAAGGGCGGCUGGCAGCCAGCCUUGCCUGGCUCAGUGGAUGGAGUCGUUGAAGUUCUCACACUCAGUGGAUUUCUGGAGGAAGGCACGAGGGGAACUGCGGUGCUGUGAAAGUGAUGCUGUCUUUUCUGAAGAGGCGUUUUGCUGCUUUUAUCCCCUAGGUAGAGGCUGCUUCGAGUGAUGCUUGCAAAAGUCAUAUCACUAAGCAGGCUUUGAGUCCUUAGAUAAGACUGUAACCUUCGUGUGCCUUUCCUGGGCAUGGCAACUUGGCAUCUAUUUUCAGCUCUGUUAUCAAACAUCCAGCAGUAGACCAAUUUUUUCUGAGGGACAUCACAGCCCCGAGCAGGAAUAUAAAGACUUUAUAGCCUUCGCCUUCAGGAAGCUUACGAUCUACUUAGACGACACAUACAUCCGUAAAGAGACAAUAAUUCCCUCUUCUAGGCAGCACAUCAUCUCCACGUGCGCAUAGAGGAGCCCUCAGGAAAGACAGCAAUCUUCAGAGGAGAGUGGCCAGGACACUUGGCAGUAGUGUAGGAUACGCUGCAGCACAGUGGCUUCAAUGUGGGAGGAGGCAAGGAGCAGGUCUGUGACCAAGCACUGGGUCUUGGGAUGGCUGCUUCCCGUCCUCCACACAUGCUUGUGUCUGUGACGGGCUGUCUGAGGGACUCUAGCCGGGCAGCCGUCCACCCACUGCUCAGCCUGGAGGGGUCCUCUGAGCAAAGCCUUCUUGCCCCACUUAUCCUUGUGCUAAAAUUACAAUCCGCCCCAGUCAAAUGAUGCUCACAGAGAGCAACAGAGAGCCGGCCAAGAGGAAAUUUUUCUACCUAAUCUCAACUUUUCUUUCUUUCUUUCUUUUUUUUUUUUUUUGAGGAAGCUUAGCCCUGAGCUAACAUCCGCUGCCAAUCCUCCUCUUUUUGCUAAGGAAGAUUGGCCCUCAGCUAAUAUCCAUGCCCAUCUUCCUCUACUUUACAUGUGGGACGCCUGCCACAGCAUGGCUUGACAAGUGGUGCCGUGUCCACACCCAGGAUCCAAACCGGCGAAUCCCUGGCCACUGAAGCAGAGGGAGCAAACAUAAUCGCUGCACCACUGGGCCGGCCCGUCAACUUUUCUUUUUUAUUAGCUGGUUUGUAAAUAGGCCCAACUUCAGAGGUCUCGCUGGGCUGGGCCGGGUUGUUUACAGGGUCAAGGAAUCAUUCAUGCUGUUACUUCUUUUUUUAAUUUAAUCAGAUUUUUCAAUCUUUCCAAUAGCAUCUGGACAAUCUUUCAAUUCUUGUCUGGUGAUAAUGAAAUCAUUAAAAAAUGUACCAGAACCCCUUUUGCUUAUCUCUGUGCCAUUUGGAACAUAUGUGCAUAAAUUGAACACCACUUGCUCGCUGGUUUUCUUUCUGUUCUCUCUCCCCUUGUUCUUAAAAUCCCCGUUUGAAUUCAGUCACCGAAAGAGCCGGGUAUCUGAGUCAAGUAUGAUGCCGGGAGGUGCGCCUCCGAGUCCUCCACAUGGCUCCCAUCUAGGCGGCAAGCCACACUCUACUCAGCACAUUUUUUGGCUUAAGUGACCUAGAGUCUGGGGUCUUUUUUUGGUGAAGAUUUUCUUUAGCUUCCCAGUUGAUCUUAUAGCAAUAAUAGCCACCCUAGUUUGGGCAUUUCACAAAUAGCUCAUAGAUGACCGUGGGGAAUCCAACUGUGCUUUUGGGACUAGCAGCUAAACUAUCUUAGCACUCUUGACAUACAUCAAAGAACACGCCCUUUCUUGGAAACCACGUUGCCAGCCUUUUCCAGCCACGGGGCCCGUGCAAGCAAGAAGAGAGCAAUUCCGGCUGGUCCCAAGAGAGGCCUCCCUGGAAGAGAUGCGAAAGACUUUUCCAGAAGGAGCUUGCUCCAAAGCAUAAAAGGUUCAGCCUCCAGCCGAUGAUUCAAAAAAAGUUUUUAAAGCCUUUUUACGGAAACAAUUUAAAGCCAGCUGCACUGAUCGAUCAGUGAUUUGAUUUUGCUUUGUUAGGAGGGAUUUGUAAUGUGCUUUUAAAUGUUUUUGUUCCUGGCCUUCAUUGAUAGCAAGUUCUGCCUGAGGCUACUUCUCAAAACUCGUCACUGGAGCUUUCAAGUCUGUGAAUAACGAGAAUAAUUUUAAUCCGGACCUCUCUCCCCUCCUUUCUCUCUAUACGCAGAAGGAAUUGUUGGGGGGAGGGGUGUCAGAAUUGUUCAUCAAAUUCUGCCAAAUGUAAAACCUAUAAAAAGGAGUUAUUUGUCUUUAAAAGAAAAGGGAGAGCAAGGGAGAAAAUUCUAUUUACAAAGUCAGAGAGAGUCAAGUGGAUUUCAUGUUCUCAAGUACGUUCAGUUUGUGUCAGAAAGUGUCCAGCUCUUCAAGGCUUGUCUGCCUGGUGCCCGCUGCAAUUAAAAACUAAAGUCCAAAAAAUACCCAAAUCAUAGCAGAACACGCUAUUUUUAUAAUAAAUAGAUUUUAUAGAAACUUUUUAAUUAAUAGCUUUUAAAGUUUGUUAUUGCGCGUUUAAUGGCAUUGUGAACUAUCAAAUUUAUGUUCUCUAAACUACCACAAAAUAGUGGUUGUUCUAUUAUUACGGUCUGAAAUUAUAGUCUAAAAUAAUAUAGGCUUUACUAUAGAAACUGUGCUCCUAAUUUAAUCACUUCUGAUAUCUCCUAGGCUUAUAGAAACCCGGCCUUUGAUUUUUUUAAUGACAUGCACACGCAUGUUAUUUUUUAUAAUGUAAGCAUAUGCUUACACAUGUAUGAUCUUUGUGAGUUUAUUCAGCGAGAAACCAAAUAUGUGAGGAAAACAGACUUUUGAAGUGGCACCUUAAUUGUCUGUCAUGCAUGUUCCACAGAUCAUUACUGAAUGUUUACAGGUCCUGCGUGGGGUGACUUUACACCAAAGGAGAAGGUAACAUAUCUUCAUUGUUUAUAAAAAAGACAGCUCCUAAUGGACCAUAUUAGCUUUAACACAAACUAUUAAAUCCCCUUCAUUAAAUUUCUCUGUGUUCAGUCUCAGCAUCUCGUUAGCUCUGGGAAGUAGGUGCAAACUCCGAAGGGAAGCUGAGCACACAUUGAGACGAUUAGAGACCACGGUUAUUAGAUAAGCCUCGGAGGAUGUUUUUCUUGGGCGGCUCACAAGCAUUUUGAAAGAGUUGUGUUCCAGGUUUGAGGUCCCGUGUUUCUUCCUCUUAAACCACGAGCAGCUGCAGCACAUGCCCCACUUCUGCCGGCCCUGUAAUGAUUUCCUUCCUUCGGAGGCUUCGGGAGUCCUCCUUCUGCCCUGUGAAAAAAGGGACAAAUAUUUUAAUCCAAGCAAAAUGCUGAAGCAGGUUUUGUUGGUUUCAGGGAAGAAACUCAAUACAGCUCCAGCGCUGAGUGUAGGCCUCAAAUUGGAACCAUCUGGGCUGCAGAAGGGCUCCGAGACCUUUGGGCAAGGCAGGGACAGGCUUGCCUAGGGCUGCAGCCCAUCCACCUGCAGAGACGCCGUCGUCUGGGCAGGCGGCUGGACUCCCCCCAGGAUCGGAGCCUCUCACCCAGCAGAGAGCCCGCACGGCCUGGCACUGGCGGUUCGGAAUGUCAAGAUGCUUCAAGCUCCUGCCUACGCACCCAGCUGCACCCAGAGACAUCUUCCUCCCUCCCACCUCGCCAGCCGGCACCACCGUUCAGCCACAGGGUCAGACUUAAUGGAGCUGAGCACACUUCCUAUCAAGCUUCCUGUGGAAAGCCAGUCAGCUGAGACUGAGAAAGGCCGCCACACGCUCGAAGUCCCUGGAAAUCAAACGGGGAGCUGGGCACGGGGGCAGUGGCCCUUUCAGGCUAUUGCUUUGAUACUUUUGAUAUGGGCUUAGGUUUCUCUAGAAGACUCUGGCACUGCCUCCUCCAUGUAGCUCUGAGAGAACAUCCAUGCCCCUUGUCUGGGACAAGGGGCCUAGGCAACUCCGAUGAGUUGUGAAUUUCUGAAAAGUACCAACGCCUAGACUCAGGAAAUUAAGAAAUUCUGCCAUGUGUCUUCAUUAGUAUUUUUCAGUGCAGGAUUUGAUAUCAUCAACUUAGCCCCUAAAUUAAAGCAAUGAAUAUAACAGUCACAAUGCAAUAAAGUCAAUGUUAUGAUAGUUUUAUUUGAAAUGUACUGUUCUCUACAAGUGGGAACUAAUCGAUAUAAAUAUAUUACACAUACAUUAUUUGAGAGAAAGCCCACCGCCUUCUUAGGAAAAGUGAACAGCCGAGAGUGGGCAAUUUCAGACUGAUUUAUGAACUGAGAAAAUCCUUCUGUUUUUUUUUUUAAUUUUUUUUUUUUUUGCCUAAAAUGGUCAGGAGGUGAUGAAGACUGACUUCCCAGCCCUUCACUGCCAAAUCUUAACUUUCUGAAAACUUACAGAAAUGCUUGAUUAAAACUAGAAUAAAAAUCUCCAGUUGCCUUCAGCAAACCACAGCACAAGGGUGGGAAAAACAGUGCCAGGUUGCAGUUUAAGCAUAGUUACUUGGCGCCUGCUGAAAGCACUGCUCCCUUCCUGUUUAAUAAUUAAUUCAACUUUAAAGCCCCAAGGAUCUGGACUCGGCACCAGCUUCACAAAGCAGUACAGAAACAAAAUGCUUCCAGAACCGGAGGGGGGACGGAGGAAGAAAGAAUCUAACAUUUCAAGAAACAUCACCACAUGGGGCCGGUAUGAGGAAGAACUUUUCCAGAACGACUGCAAGCAGACCCACCUGCAGCCACACAAUCCAGUAUCAAACUGCAUGGAGUGUGUUGUUGCAUUCCAGGAAACCUAAGCACCCCAAAGCCUGGCAAAGAGAUGGUGCGGACCAGCAACAAACGGAUUAAUUACACGAAAUGAAGGCCCGGGCGGCCGGAGAAAAGAGGAAAGCUAUUUAAACAUCAAAUGUAUUUACUUUUCGCUUAUUAUUAUUAUAGAGGAGGCAUGGCAUGGAGCACUCACAUACAUCCUCUGAGACCGUCGUAGGGUAUUUCGAAAAAGACAUUCAAGUAAUUAAAUGGUUGAGUUGAACAAAUAAUGACCUGAAUACUUUUCCCAAUCCCUAAAAAGAGAUGUUUUUAACACUCUAUGAUUGUCAAAACUAUAUGGAUUUUCUUUAUAUGUCACUUAAUACAUAAAUUAGUUAUAAACGUUUAAAUCACACCUCCUUCAUAUCUUUUUCUCCCAUGUCAGACUGAUGGCAUUGCCUUGAAAAUGCAGCAGCCGUCUUUCAAAAAUAAGCUUUGUAUUCUUCUCGACUGAGUCCACAAAACUGCCAAAUGCAAGUCUGAAACUAGUUUCCAGUUAUUAAACAGUUUCAAAACCAGAAGACAUUUGCGGGAGGCAGGGUGUGUUAGCGGAAAGAACACUGGACUACGAGACAAGCCAGCCCCGGGGCUGGUCCACCCACUAACUGUAAACCGGGCGAGUCGCACUCAGGCGCAGCGCGCGCACCGGUUCCCACCGCAGCAGACGAGGCCCCCGCAACCCCUCUCAGCGCACCAAGUGUUCGCUGUGUACAGUGCGCCCCGAAAGCCGUUCUCUGAGGGGCCGGGGCCCACAUCGACACCCAGAGCCCGUGCUAGAUGGGUCUGGACUGUGGUGAGUGCUGUCUCAGAGCCACGAGUGAAACAGACCAGAGGACGCCGAGGCCCACGCAGCUCGCAGACCUCUGACUCCCCGGGAUCAUGGAGGCCCGACCUCUGGUUAGCGGUCCAGGCACCGACCCCGCUCACUAAAUGUUGGCUCGGCCUGGGCUUUAUGGAAACCCGGGGGAUCGGCGGUGUUAGGCUUGCAAGGUACCACCUGUGGAUAUAAAUGUGCCCUAGAAAAGGAAAAAAUGUGACCCCCUGAUUAGAAGAGAGGACAUCAAGCUUGAGUCUCUGGUAACCAACGUAUUUCCUAGUGCUUUCUAUUCAAAACUUACCCACACGAGCUUAAAAUAUUUUGUCAGAAAACUGACACCUGGGCCCCUUGAACACCUUACCCUGAUCACCUUUGGCACCAUGGCCAUGUCACCCUGCCACAGUGCGAGAGAUUGGGCUCCGGGUUUAAUUUCUAUUGUUAAAUGUCCUACCUCAGUAUGGGUAGAUGUCUAUUCGGGUCCCUUUCACACUUUUCUCUUCUGGGCUCUUUUAGACUCUCACCUUGGGCUUUGCUAAGUAUCCCAGUCCAUUUGAACAGCACACAAUUUCGUCAGCUAUUGGUCACCACAUUGCUUGAGCAUGAAGCUUUCAAAGGAAAUUACAGUGAAAAAAAUAAGAUCUGGUAUUGGUUAUUAACUCCACCUCAGGGUGACUUCUCUUCAGGGGCAAUUAAAUAGCAGCUCUGCGCUGUUAAGUUUAGUGGCUUUACUCGUAGGUGGCACAUCUUCUUCAAGGACAACUUGGGCUCAGAUCUGCUUUGAUUUGACAUGAUGAAGCUGAGGCUGCCUCUGCAAAACCAGAUUUCAUUUGAAAUUCUAGGUGUGACCACAUAUCUGUGAGCUGACCUUUCUUUAAGAAGCAAGUUUUGCAUUACCAGGUAAAUGCCCUUUCCGGGGAAUUCUCAUGGAACACUGGUGACAUCCUGUGGUCAGUUGGGUUUAAGGCAGCCGGCCUUCUCAGCAACUAUCUCAGGGAAUAAAGAAGUAAAUGCCCCACAUCAAUCCUACUUGGUUUUGCCAAACCAAAAAGAAAAAAGAAGUACAUUCUUAUUUCUAAUCAUUUUUACAAUAUGAACAGCUCCCUUUUGGAGCAACGCAAUUUUUCGGUGAAUGCGGACAAAGCACAUUCUGGUAGUGAGUAUUUUGGUAAGGAGAGAUAGUUCAUGGAAGCGAGAUACAGCUUCAUCAAAGCAGAGGACGGGUGCCAUGAUGUCGGGCCUCGCUCCGCGAUGGUACCUGGUUCUCACCAUCUGCUUGGUACGUCCUCUGUACCUUGGCUUCACGUCUACUCCUUGCAGGAGACAGCCUUCUGCAAAAGGGCACACAGCGUGGCUUAAAGGGAAAACAGUGGGUAUUUUGGCAUUUUUACACCAGUGACAGUAAAUUGAAGCCAUUUAGUUGUAAAUGUGAUAUUACACUUGACGGUUUCCCCUGGCAAAGCGCUGAGCGGCCCAGAUUGAAUGGAGCCAAAGAGAUGGAACCGGGAGAGCAAAGCCAGUCGCCAGAGUAGCCGACCAAAGGGGCUCGUAAAAGCAUUUGUCAGUCGUUUAGAAUCAUAACUCAGCUCCACACUCGUGGUACCAGGAGCAACGGGCUCGGUUUCAGCUGUAGAGAGCAGGCAAUGGAGUUUAUGUUGUUCUUCUGUUUAUUAAAAACGGAUGGGAGCACUUGACAGAAAAAUCAAACUUCUGGUCAUGGCUCAUUAAUCCCUGUUGUAUCUGUCAGGGGGAUGUGCGUGGAGUUCCAACAAGCCCCUGGAAGUCGAGCACAGCCGAGCCUCGGUGCUUUCUCUAAUUUUGAAUGGAAAAAGAGAUGCCAAUCACCUUGAAGGGGAGAGAAGAGGAGGUUAUUCUUAACCCACCUACUUUGGACAUUAAAUGGCCCAGGCCCAGCGUGACCUAAAGAAGGAGAUGCAUGUAGGAAUGGGGGAAGCCUGCAAUGAAUCGAGGCUCCCGAAACAUAAAGCCACAGGAUAGAAAGGUACUGUGGCACUGUUUGGUGGAACCAAACCCUUUAGGGGAUGGACAUGAGAGUGUGG
ensembl:lncRNA